UACGUAGGGGGCGAGCGUUGUCCGGAUUUAUUGGGCGUAAAGAGCUCGUAGGCGGUUGGGUAAGUCGGGUGUGAAAACUCAGGGCUCAACUCUGAGACGCCACUCGAUACUGCCCUGACUCGAGUCCGGUAGGGGAGCGUGGAAUUCCCGGUGUAGCGGUGAAAUGCGUAGAUAUGCGGAGGAACACCGAUGGCGAAGGCAAUCCCCUGGGCCUGCACUGACGCUCAUGCACGAAAGCGUGGGGAGCAAACAGG
rnacentral:rRNA from 1 species